UAACGCACGUUGUUUGCUGCAGC
rnacentral:miRNA from 1 species